GGCAGACGGGUGAGUAACGCGUGGGAAUCUACCUUUUGCUACGGAAUAACGCAGGGAAACUUGUGCUAAUACCGUAUGUGUCCUUCGGGAGAAAGAUUUAUCGGCAAGAGAUGAGCCCGCGUUGGAUUAGCUAGUUGGUGGGGUAAAGGCCUACCAAGGCGACGAUCCAUAGCUGGUCUGAGAGGAUGAUCAGCCACAUUGGGACUGAGACACGGCCCAAACUCCUACGGGAGGCAGCAGUGGGGAAUAUUGGACAAUGGGCGCAAGCCUGAUCCAGCCAUGCCGCGUGAGUGAUGAAGGCCCUAGGGUUGUAAAGCUCUUUCACCGGAGAAGAUAAUGACGGUAUCCGGAGAAGAAGCCCCGGCUAACUUCGUUCCACAGCCGCGGUAAUACG
rnacentral:rRNA from 1 species